AUGUCCAGCACCCCCCAUUACUGAAUUUCCUAUAACUGACUAAAAAACUCAUCAGCCUUCCCCUAGCAAACGAAAUAUAACCUUAACUUAUAACAAUACAGUCGAUUUUGCAACAGAUCGGAGUAAGCGUUCAGUCAUUUCUCCAACUACCCGGUUUGAUACAAGGCUAUGAGAACGUAUAAUUUAAAGACGGAGCUGAUCGACUGCGAGUGUCAUAUAUCCGUCUCGCUCGCACCCAUACAGACGAAACAUCUCACUCAAUAGAGCUGCUCAUUUUUUGCUAUUGUAUUGAAUUACUUAUUAUUUUCUGAAUUAUAUUGUAUGGUGUCGUAUUUGGUUCCUACCUGAUGAAGAUGGAUUCGGGAAUCAGACACCGUAAUGGACAUGAGCGGUGGUAACGACGAACAACAACAGAUAUAGCAGUGGUAGCGUCAAGUGUGGGAGAUACGAAGACACCACCACCACCGCCACUAGAGGAAUGUUCAGCAGACUGACACCGUCGCAUCGCUGACCGCUCAUCUCCGACACGAUGAGACGGCUCUGGAAUACAUUUGGAAUACAAAUGGAAUCCAAUUCCAUUAACGGGAAUUUUAUAAUUGUACCACAUUCUGUUACGACUCCAACACACAGCUCUACAUAGAGACCUCGUAAAGAAACUAGAUCGUUUAUAAUAUUAACAUGAAAAUAUAAAAUUAAGUUAUUUUUUUAAGUAAUUGUAAUAAAAUAAAAUAUAUAUAACGUAUUAUGUACCGCUAUGUUACUGAAUAUUGUCCCAAAAGCCAGGAGGAAGGCUCUGGGGUCUUGUUCCAGGGCAUCUGUCUUCAGAGCCCAGAGUGUGGAGGUGAUCGUCAGUACCGUCAUGGGAUACAGCGGACGGAGAGCCUCCCUCAGAGACAACAUCUUACCUGUCCUGUUCCUGUGUGAUCUGGGAACGGAUUCCAUUUAAACCAUCAACUUAUUUACAGUAACGAAAUUAUAUUAGCAAUUUUUCUUCCUUUAA